GUCCACGCUGUAAACGAUGAGUACUAGGUGUUGGGGGUAUCGACCCCCUCAGUGCCGAAGCUAACGCGAUAAGUACUCCGCCUGGGGACUACGGCCGCAAGGCUAAAACUCAAAGGAAUUGACGGGGGCCCCGCACAAGCAGCGGAGCGUGUGGUUUAAUUCGACGCAACGCGAAGAACCUUACCUAGGCUUGACAUGCACGUGGUAAGACUGGGAAACCAGGAUGACCCGCAAGGGAGCGUGCACAGAUGCUGCAUGGCUGUCGU
rnacentral:rRNA from 1 species